CGCGUAGGCGGGGGACUAAGUGAGAAGUGAAAGGCUCAGGCUCAACCUGAUGCAGUGCUUCUCAUACUGGUUCUCUUGAGGGCGGUAGAGAGAAGUGGAAUGGCUGGUGUAGCGGUGAAAUGCGUAGAUAUCAGUCGGAACACCGGUGGCGAAGGCGGCUUCUUGGGCCGUUUCUGACGCUGAGGCGCGAAAGCCAGGGGAGCGAACGGGAUUAGAUACCCCGGUAGUCCUGGCCGUAAACGAUGGAUACUAGGUGUUGGGGGUAUCGACCCCUCCAGUGCCGCAGCUAACGCAAUAAGUAUCCCGCCUGGGGAGUACGGCCGCAAGGUUGAA
rnacentral:rRNA from 1 species